GAAAUCCUAAAAUUCCUCUCUCAGUCCCUUGCUCUCCCUCCCGCGCUCACCCUCUCUCCUCCGGCGAGUUCAUCGGCCACCGGAAAUCCCCUCUCAGUCUCUCGCUCUCCCUCCCGUGCUCACCCUCUCUCUCCUCCGGCGAGUUCUUCGGCCACCGGAAAUCCUCUCUCACUCCAGCACUCUCCCUCCCGCGCUCACCCUCUCUCUCCUUCCGCGAGUUCUUCGGCACCGGCGAAGCUGUCCGUCCACUGUCUCUCUCACUCCGGCGAAGCCGAAGGCUCUCUCUCUCCUCCACCGGUGGUAAGUGGAAAAGUUACUCAUUAUAGCUGCCUAAAUGGACAAGGAUGGUGAAGUUGAAUCUUUGUAUACACGUAUUCCAAAUGAUGAAGAUUUUUUGGAGCAAGAUUGCCCUCAAAUAGAUGUGGAUGAAGAAGUUGAAGAACCAAAUGUCUUAAGGAUCACUUGUUCGGAUGAAGAGUUGGAUGGGGAUGAAAGUUCGAAUGAAGAGUUGGAUGGAGAUGAAAAAUUUGAAGAAACAGAGAUGAUCGGUGGGAAUGAAAAAGUUGGAUGGACAUGAAAAAUUUGCAUGUAACUGUCUUUUUGGAAAGUUGCUAUGUGACUUUGUCUUUUUGAGAAAUUGUCAUGUAACCCUUUAAAAGGAUUGUGUUGGGAGCAACGUGGAAGAGCUUUGUCAUUUAUGUUUAUUGCAUAUUUCUUACUGUUUAUGAAAGUUUUUUAUAGGAUUCUUUGAUUUUUUGUUCAUUUAUUUUUUGGGGAAGUUGGAUUUAUGGGUUGCUAGUUGUUUUAGAUAGUGAAAGUGUUUGUUAAUUUGUAGUUAUAACGUGCAAAUGAUGGUGUCAGCGUUAUAAUCAAAGCUAGUUACUUGGUUAUAUUGGUGUAGAAUGAAAACAGUACUCCUUGGCAGGCCACAACCACUCCUGUGGAGAUGAGUCCUUUCAUGUCAACUAAUAGGAUUAAGAAGCCAAUAUUGCUUAUCCACGGAGAAGACAAUAUUACAGGACAUGCAUUAUAAAGUCCUGUAAAUCAUAAUUUUUUUUUUUAAUGAUAUUGGCAUCAUAAAAUUGCUGUGAACUUCAAUAUCUUGUUCUGCCCUGUGAAAAUCCAUGAAGAUGUCUAUAACAGUUCCAUUAUUUUC